AGCUUAACGUUUUUUUAUUUUAAGUAAUUUCUGCCCAGUGAAUUUUUUAACGGCCGCAGUACCCUGACUGUGCUAAGGUAGCAAAAUAAAUUGACUUUUAAUUGGAGCCGAGAAUGAAUGAAAAUAUGGAGAGAAGCUGUAUAAGAAGAAUUUUUUAAAAAUUACUUAAAAGGUGAAAAUUCCUUUAAUAAAACAAAAGACGAGAAGACCCUUAGAAUUUUUAAAAUAAAUAUUUCAAAUAUUUUAUUUUUUGUUGGGGUGACAAGUUAACAAAUUUAAAACUUAACUUUUUUACAAGUGAUAUUAAGGUUGUAAGAUAAAAUUACCUUAGGGAUAACAGCAUAAUCUAAAAUAGGAUUGUGACCUCGAUGUUGGACUAGGGACUUUAUGAUUAGUAAUUUUUAAAGCUAGUUCUGUUCGAACUUUUUAUCCCU
rnacentral:rRNA from 1 species